rnacentral:rRNA from 1 species
GAUGAACGCUGGCGGUGUGCCUAAUACAUGCAAGUCGUACGCAUUCUCGUUUCUGAUUGACGGUGCUUGCACCUAAUUGACGAGACAUUGGAAUGAGUGGCGGACGGGUGAGUAACACGUGGGUACCUGCCCAGAAGUGGGGGAUAACAUUUGGAAACAGAUGCUAAUACCGCAUAAAAGUCAAAACCACAUGGUUUUGAUUUAAAAGAUGGCCUUUGUGCUAUCACUUCUGGAUGGAACCGCGGCGUAUUAGCUAGUUGGUAAGGUAACGGCUUACCAAGGCAAUGAUACGUAGCCGAACUGAGAGGUUGAUCGGCCACAAUGGGACUGAGACACGGCCCAUACUCCUACGGGAGGCAGCAGUAGGGAAUCUUCCACAAUGGGCGCAAGCCUGAUGGAGCAACACCGCGUGAGUGAAGAAGGGUUUCGGCUCGUAAAACUCUGUUGUUAAAGAAGAACGUAUCUAAGAGUAACUGCUUAGGUAGUGACGGUAUUUAACCAGAAAGCCACGGCUAACUACGUGCCAGCCGCCGCAGUAA